UGAAAUGUUGGAAAGGUUCAGGUUAAUGUACAUUCACAGGACAGGCACUGUGGACAGACUAUAUCUGACAUGAACCAUGUUUUGAAUCUCUGAAGCCAUCUUAUGAUCAAGAAAGUACCUCAUUCUGCAGCAAAAUUUAGCAUGGGGAAUAUUUUAACAAUCUGACAGAGGGAAGAAUCAAUAUUGCUUCAUUAUAUCAUUAUUUUAAGAAGAUUCUCAUCACUGUUAAGACACAGGCCUUAAACUUGCAACAAGCUCCCCUUGGAGUCCUGUGGAAGACUGUGUGGUUGCUCACACAUGAAAGGUUGUGCAACAGGACCUUGUGGUGAGACAGUGACUUGUUCUGUGUGCACCAUGCCCAGCGCAACCAGGUCCUGACACCACACGGCUCCUUGGCACGGGAGCUGUACAGAGACCAGACUGAACAGAACUCCACGAGGUGAGGGUGAAGCGAUGCUGUCAUACGGGCAGUGGCGGCAACCACAGAGGUAACACCAACACCAAGGGGGAGGAGAGAGAACCGGGAUUACCUGCUGGGCCUGCUGCAGCAGCUCCAUCCGCUCGUGCAAGAUCUGGCUGUCAAACUCACGGCUCUGCCUCAGGAUCUGCCGCCGCACCUUCUCCACCGCCGCUCGCAAAUCCUCCCGCUGGGCUUCCGUCAGCGACUCGCUUGCCCGCCUGCCUGGGUCCUGCUGCAGGGCAUUAUACAGGGUGGCUUCCAGCUCCUGGAUUUUCUAGUGCAACCCAAAUCACACACAGACAGGCUGACGUUUGAAUCCAGCAAGCAAACGACCCACCAACAGCUAGAGGAGAAGGCUGGCAAGCAAAGGCUAAGGCAGGAGGGCAGGAUGGACACAGACAGGUAGACAGAAAGCAGCAAGCGUGAGCAGUGAGAAGCAUUCCACACAGAGUGCACGCAUCCUCCCGGCAUGGAUUGACACCCGGGAGAUGGGUCCUGUUCUACCAAAUGAUUGAUUCUUCCAUUUAAGAAAGAUUCAGAAGAUAAGUCUGCAUUCAAUACCUGAUAGAACUCCAAAUCCUGAUGCUGAACAUUACAAAUUUAAUUAAAACAGAUUUCCUUCUACUGCAACUGAAUUGUUAAACCAUCCUAUAAAAUAAAAAAACCAAAGGAAAAACAGUGAACAGAAAUCUUGCUUUCCCUCUCUCUGGUCCUACUGACCUGACACACACGGCUCACAGUCUAUGUACUGACUAGGCUUAGUUCCAAUUUGCCAUAAGCAAUGAAGGGAGGAACACUGGUAUACACUAAUCCCUCAUCCGUCUCCUGCUGCCUGCCAGAUUCCUAACAUGAUCCUCAUGUACUGACCAAAACUGGAGUACUUUGAAAAGCAGAGAACACAGGAGAACUUCACAUUCACACGGGGAACUAUACUCCCAAAAGAACAGAAUCAUGGCAGUGUUUCCCUGAUUACUGGGUUUAGUAUGAUCCUAUCAAAAACCAGCAUCCGGACUAACAAUAUUUGGAUCAAGAGCAUCUGACCACAUCCCUUUGGCCCUCAUAACACCUUUGUGAGAUGUAUCAACACAAUGUUUGCAUCUCACAGAAUAAAAAAUGCAAUGCAAAAAUGUUACACUUGGAGGAAACCCGAACAGGCAGGGCCACAGCUGGAUUCUGCAGCACCAUCCCGUGACGUGUUACUGGAGCUGAAGUAACAACUUGGUCCUCAGCUUGUGCAGGCAGAAGGCCAAACAGGAUGAAUGCAAUGCUGCUUAUUUAUCUACCUGUAAAAGGUGUGGUGAGGAUUAAUCAGCGUUUGGAAAGCCAUUUGAAGAUGUGAAGCACAGCAUGCAUGGUAAAACAGUAAAACCAAGCACUCCUUCUAAAAUUGUUCAACGUGGAAAAAUAAGUGACAAGCUGAAGAUAUUCCUAAGGAAAGCCUCACCACUGAUUUUCAGCAAGACCAUGAGCAUUCUGAACCUUUGAAAUCAAUGGAAAUGGGAAAUCCUGAGCAUCUCUCACAGCUACCCUCAAUCAAGUGAAGGGCUGUUUGCAAAAAUUACAGGUCCAAUUUUUUUGAAGAGGAAAGGACCACUGACUACUGUGAGCUUUUUCAGUCAUCCACAAAAAUGAGCCCAAGAGGGACCAUGGGCACCUUACACCUCUUCCCAGAGCACUGAGGACACCAGCAAUUCUGUGAAUUAAGUCUCUUGUGUUAAGUGGAUUUUAUGCCAAGGGAAUAUUUCCAAAACAUGUUUUUAUUUUUAAACUGGGUUUCUUUCUUAAGUUUGGCUUUACCUCAAGACACCACAAUCCCAACAUUCAUGUAAGGAUGAAUACAUGCUCCAAUUCAGAUGACCUGAACAGAAAAGCCGUGCUUCCCUGGAAAAGUUAUGAGGUAUCUUAGAAGACAUGGUCAGUUUUUAGCAGAGAAAAAUAUUUAUUGAAUUCUACCUUUUCACAGAGGGAAAGCACAGUCCCAGCUUGGAUUAUUGCAACCUGCUCCUCAUUUCUCAAAUUCUAAAACACAAAAAGAUGCAUUUUAAAUUGGAUUAAAAAUUCAUCCUUUAACACAAGCAGCAAGUUUUAACCAUACUUUAAAAAAUAGAUCAGUUAUAACAUUUAGGAUUAUAGACGUAACCAAAUAGGAUCCCAUGACUGAAAGUAUUGGAAGUUAAACCAAGGGUGCUUAGUUCUACUCUAUUUCAGCAUACCAGCCCCGCAACACUUUCAACAGAUCAUUCAAUGAAACAGAUCAUUCAAUGAAAAUUAAGUGGUUUCAGUCAGGGAUUUUGCAAUUCUUUUCCUAUUUUUGCCAGUUCAAUGGACUAAGCAAGUGAAUCUCCCCUUCAUGCACUUCAGACUUCCAAUUAAAGAAAACAAUGCGAAGAGUAAGUAUCAUAGAAACCUCCACAGGACUUGCAACAUAACACGCAAAUCUAGAACUUUAAAGUAGUAUUAUAAAGACAUCAAUCUGUUAAACCUAGCUAUAAUCUGGACUCAGCUCCCCAGAUGUUUGUGCCCCAAAUAUGCGACCAAGAUUUUACACUGUAUUUAGCAAUAAAGAGGAAAAAGGGGAGACAGUUAUCCUUGCCCUUCUCCCAGAAAAUCCACUCCUGGCCGUGAUAGCCUUCACAGCAGAAGGUGCUACUAUUACUACUCAGGAGGGAUAAUUCACAAGCAACUUGGUCUGGCUUUGACCUCUGGUUUGUAUCUUUUCACUUUGCCUAUUACAGUAGUUUUUUUCCAUGUCAUUCAGUCAAGACCAAAUCCUACCUUAAAAAAAUACACCUUGCACAACCACCAGUUUAACUAAAAUAUUUCAUGUUGUAAAAGCAUUUCCUAACCAUUCAUAUUUUUCAUAAAAAUACAGGCAUAUAAAAAUCA